GGGGGGGGGGGGGGGGGGGGGGGGGGGGGGGGCAGUUCACCGAAACAAAAUUGGGAGCAGGGUUGCCGGGCACUGCCACUGUGAGGGAACAAAGUUUGUUGGCCAACGAGUUGGCCUGUCUCUCUCCCCCUCUCCCUCUCUCUCCCGCUCACUCACUC
rnacentral:miRNA from 1 species